rnacentral:rRNA from 1 species
AUGGACGCCGAGCUGCGGGACCUGCACCACGACCUCGCCACGCUGCUCGACCUCCUGCCCGUCGUCGAGCUCGGCCUCGCCGACGACGUCAUGGACCUCCUCGCCCUCGCCUCGCGCCAGUGCCGCCGUUGCGCGUCGGCCGCCGAGCCGGAGCCGGUGCUCAAGACCACCGUGCUGUCGCUGAUCGAGGAAAUCGAGCGGGAGAUCGCGCCCGAGCGGGAGAGGCUGGAGGAGAUCCUGGAGGAGGUUGGCAUCAACGACCCGGCCAGCUGCAGCGACGAGAUCGAGAGCCUCGAGCGGGACAUCGGCGACCGAGCAUCGGAGAGAUGGACUGCCGCCAUGAUCGCCCUCGUCGGCCUGCUCCGGUACGCCAAGUGUGUCCUGUUCAGUGCCACGCCCCGGCCUUUUCGGAUUCCAAGGCGGACAUCGAUGUCGAAGAUGACGGGGAGUCACCGGCGCCCCCACCGGACCUCCGAUGCCCCAUCUCCCUCGAUCUAA